rnacentral:rRNA from 1 species
GUGAGGAAUAUUGGUCAAUGGACGGAAGUCUGAACCAGCCAUGCCGCGUGCAGGAAUAAGGUCCUAUGGAUUGUAAACUGCUUUUAUUCGGGAAUAAACCUCUUUACGUGUAGGGAGCUGAAGGUACCGAAGGAAUAAGCACCGGCUAACUCCGUGCCAGCAGCCGCGGUAAUACGGAGGGUGCAAGCGUUAUCCGGAAUCAUUGGGUUUAAAGGGUCCGCAGGCGGGCUAUCAAGUCAGAGGUGAAAUCCCACAGCUUAACUGUGGAACUGCCUUUGAAACUGAUGGUCUUGAAUUAAGUGGGCGUUGGCGGAAUAUGACAUGUAGCGGUGAAAUGCAUAGAUAUGUCAUGGAACACCGAAAGCGAAGGAAGCUAACGAUACUUAUAUUGACGCUCAUGGACGAAAGCGUGGGUAGCGAACAGGAUUAGAAACCCGAGUAGUCC